CAAAGUAUAGCUAAUGAAGUAAAGUGUUUCAGUUACGUUGAAAAGAGUUAUCGUGCAAAUCGAUUUACUUUGA
rnacentral:tRNA from 1 species